AAAUGUUUUUCUAAACUAGCUACCUAGAGAAGAUUUGGUGGAGUUUUACUUCUAAGGAUUUUUGGAAGUGGAGCAGAAUACUACACUAAGGAGAAUCUUGAUGCAGGGAUAGAAAG